UUACGGUCAUAACACAUUGAAACACUGGUUCGCGUCCGAUCACAGAAGUUAAGCAACGUCGAGACUGGUCAGUAAAUAAAUGGAUGACCGAUUUGGAAUACAGGGAGCUGUAAG